CGCCAGCUGGUGAGCAGCCCAGCCGGCAGCCCCUCGGGAGCAGGGCGCCAGGGCGUCUCUGCCAGCGCUUGUCAUGUCCCACGCAGUAAAAUCGCCUUUUUGUCUGCGAUCUCAAGGGGCUUCCCAGUUGCCUCUUAAUGGAGCUGUUAAUGACUUCAGACAUUAAUUCAUUAAGUAACUACAGACUUACAAGACUCGAGGGGGAGUGAUACGAGACCACUCACUGCUGGCCUUUUUGGGUGGGAUGGGGAAGGGAAAAGGCAGUCAAAGUCUGCAGGAGGCACGGAGCAGAGGGGGGGUUCCUCCCUCCGUUCUCUCCCGAAAUGUUCUGUCUCUGCCUGCCGAGUGCAGGGCUGCGCAGAGGCCGCUCCGGCCGUGGGAUCUCCUCGGGGUUAGGAGAGGAGAUGAGGACUGCAGCACUCCAGGGCGAGCUCCUCUCCAUCCAGGGUCAUUGCCUUUGUGCAGGGACCUCGGGCUCUCUGUCACUGCCACGAACGCCCCUGGGCUUCUCUGCCCUGCCGGUGCCCCUUGGCCAGCCUCCCUGCCCUGGCAGAGCCAUGCAAGGGCCUUGGUCCUUGCUGGGGAGCCCGCCCUUAGUAACCUAAUGCAUUCCUUGUUUCUUGAUGCAGCCUUUCGCAAUGACCUGGGGACAAGUGGGAAUAUGUGGCCAACCAUUUUGUUUAGCUAAAGUUUAACUCUCCCGUGCUUUUCUGUGUGCAGCGCCCUGUUUGCAUGCAACGGCUUUGUCUCCUGCCCGGGGCCUCAGGCUCGCCGGGCUGUUUCCAGGUAGCAGCAGAGAGCAGAGCUCUGUUGUGUCCGGUUGCUGCGAGUAACUGAACUAAACACGUACAGCGCGCUUUCCGUAUCCCUUGGCAGAGCAUUUUGCACAUGAAAGGGCUUUGUCUUGUUUCCCAGCCCGCAGGCCACUCCGCACUGCUCCAGUUCCUCGUUGGGAGAUGCGGUGAGACAGUCCCAGCAGAGCACUCCAAGGAAGACACGCUGUCCCACAUGCCAUGCACCCAGGGACACCUCCGCACCCAGCACCAGGGACAGAGCAGCACACGCAGAGCGCAGCUCGGACAGCACGUCACCUCCAGGCUCCCGUGGUGGUCCCCGCGCCGAGAAGCUGGCGCGGCGUGGCUUUUGUUACGGGCCACCCAGCCCUGCGGCAGCCGCUGUCGGCUACCUUGCGCCAGUCCCCCUCGUGCCUUACGCGCCCUCCGUGCUCUACUGCUCCCCGGUGGUAUCUACCUCAGCACCAGGCCUGGCCGGCCUCCCCCUCCAUCACGCCGCUGGGUACCAGCUGGCAGAGAGGACGCCACAGGUCACCCGCCAGCAAGCUCCCGGCCACCGCCACCCCCUCGCCCUGGACCUCGAUGACUUGGAUGACCUCAACUGGUCCCUGAGCCGCGCUGUGAAGGCUGCCAACAGCAUGAAGUUCACCACAAAGCAGAUGAGCCGGUCACUGACCUCCGAACUGAGCAAAGCCCGGGAGCUCCGGGGAUCUUGCCUCUUCUGAUGGGAGCUGGGGCCCCGCUGUAACGUAGCUGGGUGAAGCUGGGAAGCUGGUGGGAGGCCAGGAGAAGGCCUCAGGAGUGAUGUGCCAAAGCGACUCAUCUGUCCCUGCCUUCUCAGGAGGCAACAGGGAGAUCCUGCCUGUUUGCGCCAGAUGCUCCCUACCAGGUCUGGAGGUGCCUCUGUCCGAGCCGAGGCUGGAAGCAUCUCCGCCAGGUCCUAAACCUGCUCCUAACCCGCAUCACAGUUGCCUUAACCCUCCCCUCCCGCGUCACUAGUCUGCAAGGAGGGUGCUGCGUCCCGCCCCGAGAGGGUGCUCCACCCUCGGGGUACCUGGAGAUCCUCAGCACUGAGCCAGGAGCUUUUGGUGGUUUGUGUCCAUCCAGCUGUCUAUUUUAAGGACCAUUGAAGCUGAAGGAAGAGGUGAGAUGGCAGGAUGGCUGCUGGAGCAGAGGUCUCCUCACAGCCUCCAGCGAGCACGUUGACGUCCUCCCGUCCCCACCAUGGCACGGCUGGGUGCUGCGGCGUUUGAACACAGCCCCCGUUCGGAGGGAGACGUUUCCCUUGGGCUUAGUUUACAUUUUUUCUGGGAGCGGUCCCUCUUCCUGGUGCCCUGGACCCCGUGACGGUUCCCUCCGACUCCAUCACCUGUGCGCCCCUCUCCGUCCGGCCGCUCGCAGCCAAGUUCCCCUCCACGUCCGCCUGCAGGAGACGUGUGUACAGAAGUACCCGGCUUCCUGUUUUAUUCCCAAAGGCAAACGGAGAAGGUACUGCACUAGAAAUCUCCGGAUAGUUUAAUUUAUGUCGCUGGCUUUCCAGCCUAGCACUUAAGCAAAGCACCGGCAGGAGGUUCCCCUCCCCGCUC
rnacentral:lncRNA from 1 species